AAUAGAUACCCUGGUAGUCCACGCCGUAAACGAUGAGUGCUAAGUGUUAGAGGGCUUCCACCCUUUAGUGCUGCAGCUAACGCAUUAAGCACUCCGCCUGGGGAGUACGGCCGCAAGGCUGAAACUCAAAGGAAUUGACGGGGGCCCGCACAAGCGGUGGAGCAUGUGGUUUAAUUCGAAGCAACGCGAAGAACCUUACCAGGUCUUGACAUCCUUCGCUACCUCUAGAGAUAGAGGGUUCCCCUUCGGGGGACGGAGUGACAGGUGGUGCAUGGUUGUCGUCAGCUCGUGUCGUGAGAUGUUGGGUUAAGUCCCGCAACGAGCGCAACCCUUGACCUUAGUUGCCAGCAUUCAGUUGGGCACUCUAAGGUGACUGCCGGUGACAAACCGGAGGAAGGUGGGGAUGACGUCAAAUCAUCAUGCCCCUUAUGACCUGGGCUACACACGUGCUACAAUGGAUGGUACAAAGGGUCGCGAAACCGCGAGGUGGGGCCAAUCCCAAAAAACCAUUCUCAGUUCGGAUUGCAGGCUGC
rnacentral:rRNA from 1 species